rnacentral:tmRNA from 1 species
GGCCUUUCAAUUUGCGCAAAGACUGCCUAUAUUCAGCCUGUCAGUUCGCCUGACUAUGGCAAUAAACGGGCGAUGAAAUAAGCCGUUCGGACCCGGGGGCGGUACCCGGCGCCUCCACCAAAAACCGCUCUUGAGGGAGCGGCUUUUGAUGGGGGCGAAACAGGAUCGACGAAGGUGUAAAGAUCGUACUUUUGCCCGGCAUUGUACCACCGUUAUCGGGCUAAACUUAUAGUUGCCAACGACAACUAUGCGGAAGCUCGUCUCGCUGCUUAAUGCGGCGCGAACGCUUCAAAUCAAGCCCUAGCGGUUCGCACCUCUAGGCGGGGUCCGGAGGCACCUGGCAACAGAAGCCUCCACU